rnacentral:misc_RNA from 1 species
CCCUGCACUUCCCUCAGUUUUCUGCAACAGACGAGGAAAACAUCGGAGGCGUGUUCCCAGAACAACAGAUGCAGGUAGUAAACAACUUUGUCGAACAGACAUGCAAAGCGCUGCCAAUAGGUUCACAAACAAAAGCAGUGAAACAAGAAACGUGGACUGUCACAUGGAAACGUUGAGGAGCACUUCUGAACUGACGAACAUAUAUGACAAACGUUUUGCAUUCCUGGAGCAAGUUGUUUUCUGGAUGCAGGUUCUUUAUUUUGCUUAUUCCUAUCUAGGCUUCUUCUGGGACAUAGCCAAAUCAUGCUCUGCCCGAUGCUUGCAAAGGGCUUGCAAGUUUGAACUUUCCUUGAAG